UGCUAUGUUGCUCAGGCAGAUCUCUAGA
rnacentral:piRNA from 1 species